rnacentral:rRNA from 1 species
UACGUAGGGGGCAGGCGUUGUCCGGAAUUAUUGGGCGUAAAGCGCGUGUAGGCGGCUCGGUAAGUCUGCUGUGAAAGUCCAGGGCUCAACCCUGGAACGCCGGUGGAUACUGUCGAGCUCGAGUCCGGAAGAGGCGAGUGGAAUUCCUGGUGUAGCGGUGAAAUGCGCAGAUAUCAGGAAGAACACCCGUGGCGAAGGCGGCUCUCUGGGACGGUACUGACGCUGAGACGCGAAAGCGUGGGGAGCGAACAGG